rnacentral:rRNA from 1 species
GAUGAACGCUGGCGGCGUGCCUAAUACAUGCAAGUCGAGCGAACGGACGAGAAGCUUGCUUCUCUGAUGUUAGCGGCGGACGGGUGAGUAACACGUGGAUAACCUACCUAUAAGACUGGGAUAACUUCGGGAAACCGUAGCUAAUACCGGAUAAUAUUUUGAACCGCAUGGUUCAAAAGUGAAAGACGGUCUUGCUGUCACUUAUAGAUGGAUCCGCGCUGCAUUAGCUAGUUGGUAAGGUAACGGCUUACCAAGGCAACGAUGCAUAGCCGACCUGAGAGGGUGAUCGGCCACACUGGAACUGAGACACGGUCCAGACUCCUACGGGAGGCAGCAGUAGGGAAUCUUCCGCAAUGGGCGAAAGCCUGACGGAGCAACGCCGCGUGAGUGAUGAAGGUCUUCGGAUCGUAAAACUCUGUUAUUAGGGAAGAACAUAUGUGUAAGUAACUGUGCACGUCUUGACGGUACCUAAUCAGAAAGCCACGGCUAACUACGUG